CACGUAGGGGGCAAGCGUUGUCCGGAUUUAUUGGGCGUAAAGAGCUCGUAGGUGGUUCGGUAAGUCGGGUGUUAAACCCCCAGGCUCAACCUGGGGACGCCACUCGAUACUGCUGUGACUAGAGUCCGGGUAGGGGAGCGGUGGAAUUCCUGGUGUAGCGGUGAAAUGCGCAGAUAUCAGGAGGAACACCAGCGGCGAAGGCGGCGCUCUGGGCCGGUACUGACACUGAGGAGCGAAAGCGUGGGUAGCAAACAGG
rnacentral:rRNA from 1 species